UACGGAGGGGGCAAGCGUUGUUCGGAAUUACUGGGCGUAAAGCGUGCGCAGGCGGUGAUGUAAGACAGAUGUGAAAUCCCCGGGCUCAACUUGGGAACUGCAUUUGUGACUGCAUCGCUGGAGUGCGGCAGAGGGGGGUAGAAUUCCACGUGUAGCAGUGAAAUGCGUAGAGAUGUGGAGGAACACCGAUGGCGAAGGCAGCCCCCUGGGUCAAAACUGACGCUCAUGCACGAAAGCGUGGGGAGCAAACAGG
rnacentral:rRNA from 1 species